rnacentral:lncRNA from 1 species
AAAAAAAUAAAAUUAAAAUUUGAAUUUAAAUUUAUAGGUUCCAAUAGUAUUAUUAUAAGGCUAAAUUACAGAAAAUUUUUAUGUCAAUAUUCGUUUUUUCACUUUCUUUCAUGUUAUUCAAAAAUCUAUAUUUUGUAUUCUUAAAAAAUAAAAAAUGUUUAAUUCAGUCCCCGUCGUCGGCCCCCGUCGUCAGUGUUCCAUUAGAACUCUUUUUAUAUUAUAUUUUUUAUACAAAAAAAUACCGUUGAAACCCUCAUCGUCCUCCUCCUUUCCUCACCGACAUUCUCGACCACGCAACCUCGCCCUUCUCCGCUGCCUCGCCCUCGCGCACUCCUCCGUACGUGCCCCCUUCCCCUCCUCCGCCGCCUCACCCUCGUCCUCGUCCACCUCUCCGCCCAUACCCACCACGAUCCCCCCUACAGUCGAUCGAAAUAGAGGAGCAGCAAGGGUGCUAAAGGAGUAGGGGAGUAGGUGGAGGAAUCGGAGUCAAAACUGAGAUCGAAGGGAUAAGAGUGUCGGAUGAGCAGGAUUGGAGAGAAGACAAACAAGAUGAGCACAAUUUGAUCAUUUUGUCACACUGUAUUUUCUUGUGAAUAUUUUUUGUUUUUUAAAAUGACAAAGUGUAAAUUUUUAAAUCACAAAAAAAAAAUAAAUAAAUAAAUAUUGACAGGAGGGUUUAAUCUUAGAU